rnacentral:sRNA from 1 species
AUUCUAGGUUGGCACCUUGUAGUGGCUGUUGCUUUCCAGUCUGGAAGCACAGCAUUUUAUUCAUUUCAGGAAAACAUUGGUCCUAAACCUGCUGGUGCAUUCCUGCUGUUAGUAGAAUGAAGAUAUACCAAAUGUAGCAGUUUAUCCUCAUAAUGGAAUGAUAGACUUAAAAUAUUUCCCAUAUUAUGGGAAAAAACUGCAUGUUGGGUAUCUACAGCCAUUGGUUGCUGUUCAGGUCAGCUUUGCUCCUAACAAUACUGGGAAAGAAGUAACAAUUGAGUGCAAGAUUGAUGGAUCAGCCAACCUAAAAAGUCAGGAUGAUCGUGACAAGUUUUUGGGACGAGUUAUGUUCAAAAUCACAGCACGUGCAUAGUAUGAGUAGGAUAUCUCCACAGAGUAAAUGUUGUGUUGUCUGUCUUCAUUUUGUAACAGCUGGACCUUCCAUUCUAGAAUUAUGAGACCACCUUGGAGAAAGGUGUGUGGUACAUGACACUGGGUUACAUCAUAACGUGCUUCCAGAUCAUAGUGUUCAGUGUCCUCUGAAGUAACUGCCUGUUGCCUCUGCUGCCCUUUGAACCAGUGUACAGUCGCCAGAUAGGGACCGGUGAACACCUGAUUCCAAAUAUGUAGGAUGGGGGUCUUGUCCUCUUUUUAUGU